GUUUCUUUGAGGAAGAAAUCCUCAAGAGAUAUGCUGGAACCUAUGUCAGACAGGUGUUUCUGGGAACACAUUGUUUCUUUCAAGACAAUGACCCAAAACACAAUGCCGCCCGGGUUUGCAUUGCAAAUGAGGGCUUAAACUGGGUCAAGACGCCAGCAGAGUAUCCUGAUUUAAACCCGAUCGAACUUGUUUGGCAUCAACUGGAAACAUCCAUCCAUAACUCUGCCAAGCCGAUCAGCAAAGAUGAACAGGUCAAGGCCAUCACGAUGUUUCAGCUAGAGAAAUUGACGAUACAACAAUACAACAAAUACAUUGAUCAUCUCAUUAGGGUUUUACCUGUGGUCGUGGAGCUGGGUGUAAGUGCGACUAAAAUGUAGUUUAUAUAAACAUCCGCAUUUGAAUGUCUUAUUUCUCAUUAUUUUAUUAACAAAAGCAUAAAGAUGUUGCUGACUAAAUACUGUACUGCUGCUUUGAGUUAGAAAUGUAACACUUUAGAGU